rnacentral:piRNA from 1 species
UAUACACUGAUCUUGUGUCCUACAACUUUC